CUCUUUUCUUCUCUCUUUCAUUUUAAAAAUGUCUCUGUGCUCUCUCCCUUCUCCUGCCACAUACUCUCUCUCUGUCUCUCUCUCAUUCUUACUCUCUGAAGCAAAAUAUCUGUUUGCCACUCUGUCCUCUCUCCCUCUCUCCACUCUGUCCUCUCUCCCUGUCUCUCUCCCUGUCUCUCCACUCUCUCUCUCCCUGUCUCUCCACUCUGUCCUCUCUCCCUGUCUCUCUCUCUGUCUCUCCACUCUCUCUCUCCCUGUCUCUCCACUCUGUCCUCUCUCCCUGUCUCUCUCCCUGUCUCUCCACUCUGUCCUCUCUCCCUGUCUCUCUCCCUGUCUCUCCACUCUCUCUCUCCCUGUCUCUCUCCCUGUCUCCCUGUCUCUCUCCCUGUCUCUCUCCCUGUCUCUCCACUCUGUCCUCUCUCCCUGUCUCUCCACUCUGUCCUCUCUCCCUGUCUCUCUCUCUGUCUCUCCACUCUCUCUCUCCCUGUCUCUCCACUCUGUCCUCUCUCCCUGUCUCUCUCCCUGUCUCUCUCCCUGUCUCUCUCCCUGUCUCUCCCACUCUGUCCUCUCUCCCUGUCUCUCUCCCUGUCUCUCCACUCUCUCUCUCCCUGUCUCUCUCCCUGUCUCUCUCCCUGUCUCCCUGUCUCUCUCCCUGUCUCUCUCCCUGUCUCUCUCUCCCUGUCCUCUCUCCCUGUCUCUCCACUCUGUCCUCUCUCCCUUUCUAUCUCCCUGUCUCUCUCUCUCUCCCUGUCUCUCUCUCUCCCUGUCCUCUCUCCCUGUCUCUCCACUCUGUCCUCUCUCCCUUUCUAUCUCCCUGUCUCUCUCCCUGUCUCUCCACUCUGUCCUCUCUCCCUGUCUCCCUGUCUCUCUCCCUGUCUCUCUCCCUGUCUCUCCACUCUGUCCUCUCUCCCUGUCUCUCCACUCUGUCCUCUCUCCCUGUCUCUCUCUCCACUCUGUCCUCUCUCCCUGUCUCUCUCCCUGUCUCUCCACUCUGUCCUCUCUCCCUGUCUCUCCACUCUGUCCUCUCUCCCUGUCUCUCUCCCUGUCUCUCCACUCUGUCUUCUCUCCCUGUCUCUCUCCCUGUCUCUCCACUCUGUCUUCUCUCCCUGUCUCUCUCCCUGUCUCUCUCCCUGUCUCUCUACCCUGUCCUCUCUCCCUGUCUCUCUCCCUCUCUCUCCCUGUCUCUCCACUCUGUCCUCUCUCCCUGUCUCUCUCCCUGUCUCUCCACUCUGUCUUCUCUCCCUGUCUCUCCACUCUGUCUUCUCUCCCUGUCUCUCUCCCUGUCUCUCUCCCUGUCUCUCUCCCUGUCUCUCUACCCUGUCCUCUCUCCCUGUCUCUCUCCCUCUCUCUCCCUGUCUCUCCACUCUGUCCUCUCUCUCUCCCUGUCUCUCCCUGUCUCUCUCCCUGUCUCUCUCCCUGUCUCUCUCCCUCUCUCCCUGUCUCUCUCCCUGUCUCUCCACUCUGUCCUCUCUCCCUGUCUCUCCACUCUGUCCUCUCUCCCUGUCUCUCUCCCUGUCUUUUCUACCACAGAUAAAGACACAGAUAGCCUUUUCAUUUGAGAUGUUGGCAUUCCGUAACGCAUAAGAUGGGACAGGUUGGCAUUCCGUAUCGCAUAAGACGGGACAGGUUGGCAUUCCGUAUCGCAUAAGACGGGACAGGUUGGCAUUCCGUAUCACAUAAGACGGGAC
ensembl:lncRNA